GCUGUACCUAACUCUUAUAUAUGGGGAUCCAUCUUAUUUACACAUUUGUAGUGAUGAAUAAAUUAACUCUGAUUAUUGCAUCCGUUUGCGGAGACGGCAUUCUCAUGACCCCAAAAAAAUUUAGAAUAAUGAAGAAGGCCACCCGCUUAAAUGGAAGAGUGACGAGGAUGGGACCCACGGCCCAUUUGAGACGCGUCCACAUUGAGUGGGCAAAAGUGUUUUUAUUAUUUACGAAUUAAAACUAAAACGAAAACGGAGAUCAUCAAAUCAAAUCGAACGCGAUUUGUGCCCCGCGCCUACUCAAAAAGGACAAUCCGUACCGAUCCGUAUCUCCUUAUCACCUCUCCACUCUCCCCCCAUUAUUUUUUGUCUGAGAGGAAGGGCCGGUUCCGGUAUAUCGACAUUUUCAUUGGUGCGAUCAAUGCCUAUCACGACCGUUGAUUUAAUUUUCUAAUUUUUUUUUUUAAAAUUUCUUUGAGACUAGGUCAGUCGAAUCCGAGUCGGGUGAUUCAUAUUGCGGAUGAUGGGCAACCUCGAGGGGCGUCACUUUCUUUACGGAACUGUCUUUUGACAAAUUUAAAAAUUAUGAGUGGGGCUUGGGAUAUCAUAAUGCUUUUCCUCAUUUUUUUUUUCUUCUUCUUUUUUAUUUUUCACUUUAAUUUUCUUCCUGUUUAAUAAUAGAUACAAUUUCACAAUUCACAACGGGGCAAGCAGGGGCUCGUAGAAAAUAAAAAAUAAAAAUUCUUUGAUAGUCUAGCUUUUAUAUAUACACACCCUAUUUACGGAAAAGUAAUACGUAUUUUUUAUGGUUGCCUACCUGUGCACAUAUAUUCCUUCAAUUAGAUUAUAUUUUGUCGAGUGUAUGUCCCACUCCCAAUUAGUUAUGUAAAAAUGAAAAUCUAUUAGUCAACUACAAACGCUUUGUACAAAUAAAUAUGUAUAAAGUGAUGAGACAUGAAGAAAUUUGUUUAAAAUUAUGUAAUUCAAAAUAAUAAUAAUAAUAAUAAUAAUAGCAG
rnacentral:lncRNA from 1 species